UACGGAGGGUGCAAGCGUUGUCCGGAUUUAUUGGGUUUAAAGGGUGCGUAGGUGGCUUGUUAAGUCCGGGGUGAAAGCCCACAGCUCAACUGUGGAACUGCCCUGGAUACUGGCGAGCUUGAGUCCAGACGAGGUUGGCGAAAUGGAAGCUGUAGCGGUGAAAUGCAUAGAUAGCUUCCAGAACCCCGAUUGCGUAGGCAGCUGACUAGGCUGGUACUGACACUGAGGCACGAAAGCGUGGGGAGCGAACAGG
rnacentral:rRNA from 1 species